rnacentral:rRNA from 1 species
UACGUAGGGGGCUAGCGUUGUCCGGAAUCAUUGGGCGUAAAGCGCGCGUAGGCGGCCCGGUAAGUCCGCUGUAAAAGUCCAGGGCUCAACCCUGGAAAGCCGGUGGAUACUGUCGGUCUCGAGUCCGGAAGAGGCGAGUGGAAUUCCUGGUGUAGCGGUGGAAUGCGCAGAUAUCAGGAGGAACACCGGUGGCGAAGGCGGAUCUCUGGGCCAUUACUGACGCUAAGGAGCGAAAGCGUGGGGAGCGAACAGG